UCUCCGUAGGUGAACCUGCGGAGGGAUCAUUACUGAGUGAGGGCCUUCGGGCUCGACCUCCAACCCUUUGUGAACACAACUUGUUGCUUCGGGGGCGACCCUGCCUUUGCGCGAGGCGCCCCCGGGGUCAAUCAAACACUGCAUUCUCUGCGUCGGAGUAUUAGUAAAUCUAAUCAAAACUUUCAACAACGGAUCUCUUGGUUCUGGCAUCGAUGAAGAACGCAGC
rnacentral:misc_RNA from 1 species